rnacentral:rRNA from 1 species
AAUCAACGCUGGCGGCGUGCCUCAGACAUGCAAGUCGAACGCGAAAUCCCGAGCAAUUCGGGAGAGUAGAGUGGCGCACGGGUGAGUAACACGUAGGUAAUCUACCUUCGGAUGGGGAAUAACAACCGGAAACGGUUGCUAAUACCGCAUAAUGCAGCGGCACCUAAUGGUGACAGUUGUUAAAGGCGGGGGAUCGAAAGACCUCGCGUCUGAAGAGGAGCCUGCGGCGGAUUAGCUAGUUGGUAAGGUAAUGGCUUACCAAGGCAACGAUCCGUAACCGGCUGAGAGGGCGGUCGGUCACACUGACACUGACAUA